AUUGAACGCUGGCGGCAGGCUUAACACAUGCAAGUCGAGCGAGCGGCGGACGGGUGAGUAAUGUCUGGGAAACUGCCUGAUGGAGGGGGAUAACUACUGGAAACGGUAGCUAAUAACGCAUACCAUCAGAUGUGCCCAGAUGGGAUUAGCUAGUAGGUGGGGUAAUGGCUCACCUAGGCUGCGAUCCCUAGCUGGUCUGAGAGGAUGACCAGCCACACUGGAAUUGAGACACGGUCCAGAUUCCUACGGGAGGCAGCAGUGGGGAAUAUUGCACAAUGGGCGCAAGCAUGAUGCAGCCAUGCCGCGUGUGUGAAGAAGGCCUGCGGGUUUGAAAGCACUUUCAGCGAGGAGGCGUUACUCGCAGAAGAAGCACCGGCUAACUCCGUGCCAGCAGCCGCGGUAAUUC
rnacentral:rRNA from 1 species